rnacentral:rRNA from 1 species
UACGGAAUGUGCAAACGUUAUUCGGAAUCACUGGGCUUAAAGAGUCCGUAGGCGGCAUGUUAGGUGAGGUGUGAAAUCCCCCGGCUCAACCGAGGAAUUGCGCUUCAAACCGGCGUGCUAGAGGAAGAUAGAGGUGGGCGGAACUGAUGGUGGAGCGGUGAAAUGCGUUGAUAUCAUCAGGAACACCGGAGGCGAAGGCGGCCCACUGGGUCUUUUCUGACGCUGAGGGACAAAAGCUAGGGGAGCGAACGGG